ACGGUUGAGUAGAGGAUGAUUUUAGGAGGGAAACAAUAUUACACACAAGUAAAUUUGGGACGCGGGAUCCGUAACCAAGUGGGCAGACACGGGAUCCAUGUUAUGACCCGGGUAUUUAGAUGUUCUAAAACCCUAAAUGUCCACCUCUUUCACCGCCGAUUCAUUCUUCUCCUUCACUUCGCGCUGUGAUAAUCCCUUCAUGUUGUUCAUUCUUUUCCUUCUUCUUCAACUUCUAUAAUCCAUUAACCUCUGUAAUAAUUCGAGGAAUUUCCCAGUAAAGAGAUUUGUCCCAGAUGAUGAUGGUCACCAAACUUCGAAGGAGAACUUGCAGACCCAGAUAUGUUUAUGCCCUUUGAUAUACGAUAUAGUAGAUCAUUCACUUCUAUAAAAGGGUAUUAGUCAUUUUGUAUCUCCCGGUUCUGAAGAAGUCAUGGAAGCCCUGAAAAACGGCCUUCUCCAUCACUACGGUUGUCAAUCGUUCGUUUUGUCGCUGACUAUCCGACUAAUUCAACAACGCCUAAUAACAGGCAAAUUGGGCAGAGAUGAUUAAAAUUGGGCGGAGACAAGUCGGGUCAAAAAGUUGGAAGAUUUGGAGAGGGAAUAGAAGAGACGUACAGUAUAGAAAACGAGCAUUUGGAUUCUGGAUGAGAUCCAAGUGGGACCUGCUACAGAUCUUGAUCAUGAAUAUUUCAAUCAUAAGAAGGAUCCGGAAAACAAUGAAUAUUGCUGCCCAGAAUGUAAGGGUCAGUUUUCAUUUGACCAAUCGGUUGUAGACGAAAGUCAAUCUAAAGUCAGCAGUUGUACAGAAAGCAAUGACCAGAGUACACUUCCUGACAAAAUAGUUGUCGUCUGUACGGACAUUGAAGGCAUUUACUAUCCAAAGCUUCAUCUGAUUCAGUGUAAGUGUGGUUCAUGUGGGAUCAGAAAGCAAACUCCAUCCGAAUUGGUACGACAUACUGGUUCCAGACCAAAAAAGUUGAUUCUUCGCCUAAUACACGUUCCAUCUCUCCGCCUCUCCUCUUUGCCGAUUCUCUCAGAUCAUUGGAUUCUUCGCCAUUCACCCUGGCGCAUUUCUAAUCUUGAGGUGGUUUUUUAAGUCUUCAUCAGGAUUCCGGCGAACUGAUUCGAGGUGUGUGUAUGUUAUCUCAGUAGAUCAACAUUACCUAUGACAACUGAGAGACACGAGGUGAGCCAAUUAUCACUUUACAUCCUUCCGAUCAUAAUUCUUGCAUGUUUCGUUUCUAUUUAGAUCUACAAGUAACAACUAACUUAUGUUGGAUUGGAGUUUGAUACGACGGUUCUUCUGAAUUAUGGCAACCUUUGGAUUUCGAAUGGUUUUGUGAUAAGAUGUUGAGCGGCGAAUGACGGUGGAUGGUUUAAAUCGUUCCUCCGGUUGAUUGUAAGCAGGUUCCUUUUCUUUAUCGAUUUGGUGUUAUUUUGUGUCCCUUUUAUCUAAUUGAAUUUGAUUAUUACUUUUCGUGUCAUAUAUGUGUGGAUUAAUUUUCGAAGAUGGGCUAAAUAAAAAUAGUUUGAUCUCUACUCUAUUGGUGGGUGGGUAAAUAUAAAGUAGCCUAAUGAUUUAAUAAUCGCAACUGUAUUUUGGUAAAAUUAAUUUUGUAAAAAUUUACUCCUACAAGGAGUUAAGAAUUAGUGGAUAGAAGGUGAUGCGUGCAUUAUAGAAGAGAAGCACCCAUGUUAACUAAUGAUGACAUACAAGUAACUUAGUGCAAUCUGUGAUGUUUUAAAAAACAAGUAGUCGUGUUGUUCGUAAAAACUGGGUUGUUAGCUCAAUAAAAAAUGGAAGUUGACAAGGAUAAAGAAAAAUCCAGGUCUAGUUCUUCAUUUAUUGUUUAAUCAUCAUUUUAUGUUUUUUAUUAUGAUGGAUUGAUGCAGUGUGUCUUUUUACUUUUUGUUUGAUCUUAUUUUGCAGCGAUCAUGUGCCAAAUUGUUGUAAGCAUAUAUGGAGAUGAAUUGCAGAGUAAAGAUAUAUUUACAGUCCCAUGAGGACUUCACUCAAUGAUUCUAAGGUAAUUUGUGUCUUAUCCCUUUCAUUUUCAUGGAGUAUUGAAAAGAUCCAAAGCUUCUAUUGAAUGAAACAUCCCACAUGGGGUUUUGAUCCCUAUAAAGUUUACUGUGAGUUAACAUAUUCUGAAAUUGGAGAAGCUUUGCAUCAUUUGGACUCCAAAGAUGACACCAGAGCAGAGAGCAGUUAAUGGACCUCUUAUACUUUAGGUGAGACGGCUAAAUGCUCACGGAGGAAUGCAUUCUCGGAACCAAAAGCUUAUAAAUCAUACUUGAGCUUCGCCAUUGUAGUUUUGUUUAGUUCUGUAUAUGAUGGUUACCGUUUAUUGUGAUUGAAAAAGUGGCUAUGAGAAGGAUGGCCAUUGGUAUAACUAAAACGUAGUAAAAGUUGCCCAAGCACGUGCUGAACAAUUUCGUUGGAGAGGAAUUAUUUCAAGGAGUAAAGACGUUGUUUCCGAUGGUACAUAAUCAAUUGGAAGACAUAUCAUUAGACAUGGAAGCUGACAAAGGUGGAAUUGAAGACAGAGCAAAGAAAGAUUGAAAAACUCGCUUAACCUCUUUACUUGCUGGGAGAAGAAAUACUCGACGGGAGAGACGGCUAUUUGAAGAAAAAGAUCAAUGUCGAAUCCUGUCCAUGUUUAUAGCUUUAUUUGGAAAGCAUAGUUAUUUUUUUUUUGUCGGUAUAUAACUUGAAGCUCCCACUAGGUAAUAACUGCGACUGAUGCUUGAAGGGUGUCAAAGAGAGGUAACCGAUGAAGCCAUUUUUCAACAACUGAUGAUGAAACUUGAAGAACCACUGUUGCAUUAUCAACUGCUGCAACUACUGUUAUACAUCGUUUCUGCUGAUACAACUAUGAAGGUUGGUUGGGAUGAAGCGAACCAGCAAUCAUGGGUACCGAGGUUUGCUCAACCACAGGUCAACAUGUCUUCCAUGUUUUAAAUAUGGCUAAAUCAUUGUGGGGGUAUAUAUGUAAAUGUUAUUUUUAUACUUUUAUUUGUUGUAAAUUAAAUUUUUCUACCCGGAAAAUUUCCGGGUGAUAACCUAGUUAUUUAAUAUAGUAAAUGUAUAGUUGCAUAGCAAA